rnacentral:rRNA from 1 species
AGUGAACGCUGGCGGUAGGCCUAACACAUGCAAGUCGAACGGCAGCACAGUAAGAGCUUGCUCUUACGGGUGGCGAGUGGCGGACGGGUGAGGAAUACAUCGGAAUCUACUUUUUCGUGGGGGAUAACGUAGGGAAACUUACGCUAAUACCGCAUACGACCUACGGGUGAAAGCAGGGGAUCUUCGGACCUUGCGCGAUUGAAUGGGCCGAUGUCGGAUUAGCUAGUUGGCGGGGUAAAGGCCCACCAAGGCGACGAUCCGUAGCUGGUCUGAGAGGAUGAUCAGCCACACUGGAACUGAGACACGGUCCAGACUCCUACGGGAGGCAGCAGUGGGGAAUAUUGGACAAUGGGCGCAAGCCUGAUCCAGCCAUACCGCGUGGGUGAAGAAGGCCUUCGGGCUGUAAAGCCCUUUUGUUGGGAAAGAAAAGCAGCAGGUUAAUACCCCGCUGUUCUGACGGUACCCAAAGAAUAAGCACCGGCUAACUUCGUG